AUCCUAGUGCAAGGGCUUAACACGUAUCAGUGAGGAGAAAUCCGAGAUCGUGUUUUUGCUAGUUGAAAACUACCUAACGUUGACUGCUUCGAGUGGGCCUCAUUGCCUGCUUGGGAAUUUUUGAAACACUCCUACUCCUACUCCUACUCCUUAACUCUUGGAGU
rnacentral:snRNA from 1 species